AAACCACGAUGUCGACAUCUCCUUAGAAGUUCUCCAAAGCGCUCCUACGCUCAAAUAGAGAUUCAGACUCAUAUUGUUGAAAAUUAGAUAUCUCUGUCAUCAGCUU